UGCAAGCUUGUCUGAGGGAGCAGAUGAAGCCAUUAUUCUUUUAAAUGCACUCCAAGGUUCUGGAUUUGAUCUACCAAUCAGGUAAUGAUUAGUUCAUUAAAUUAUUAUUUUAUCCUUUUAAGCUAAAGAUCAGCUUUCAUUGUCAUUAAGCGGAAGCACAAAUUACUCUUUCAUAUUUGUCAAGUUAAUAUAAUAUAUACUAAUUGUUCUGUAGGCUUCUUAAAGAAAGAUCAGAGUCACUAGUUUCAGAAGUUGACCAGUGUCUGGAGAGACUAGAACCUGUGGAAGAUAAUGCAGCCUUUAACCUUGUCAAUGCAUUGCUGGAUCUCUUGUGGGCAUUUGAACUACGAGCCACUGCAUCUUGGAUUUUCCAAUUGGCCAUCAAGAGAAGCAUUUACCGCCAUGAUAUUUUUAGGUAGG
rnacentral:lncRNA from 1 species